GCAUAUCAAUAAGCGGAGGAAAAGAAACCAACAGGGAUUGCCCCAGUAACGGCGAGUGAAGCGGCAACAGCUCAAAUUUGAAAUCUGGCUCUCGGGCCCGAGUUGUAAUUUGUAGAGGAUGCUUUUGGUGAGGUGCCUUCCGAGUUCCCUGGAACGGGACGCCAUAGAGGGUGAGAGCCCCGUCUGGUUGGACGCCGAACCUCUGUAAAGCUCCUUCGACGAGUCGAGUAGUUUGGGAAUGCUGCUCUAAAUGGGAGGUAUAUGUCUUCUAAAGCUAAAUACCGGCCAGAGACCGAUAGCGCACAAGUAGAGUGAUCGAAAGAUGAAAAGAACUUUGAAAAGAGAGUUAAACAGUACGUGAAAUUGUUGAAAGGGAAGCGCUUGUGACCAGACUUGGGCUUGGUUGAUCAUCCGGGGUUCUCCCCGGUGCACUCUUCCGGCCCAGGCCAGCAUCAGUUCGCCCUGGGGGACAAAGGCUUCGGGAACGUGGCUCUCUCCGGGGAGUGUUAUAGCCCGUUGCGUAAUACCCUGUGGCGGACUGAGGUUCGCGCAUUCGCAAGGAUGCUGGCGUAAUGGUCAUCAGUGACCCGUCUUGAAACACGGACCAAGGAGUCGUCUUCGUAUGCGAGUGUUCGGGUGUCAAACCCCUACGCGAAAUGAAAGUGAACGCAGGUGAGAGCUUCGGCGCAUCAUCGACCGAUCCUGAUGUUAUCGGAUGGAUUUGAGUAAGAGCAUACGGGGCCGGACCCGAAAGAAGGUGAACUAUGCCUGUGUAGGGUGAAGCCAGAGGAAACUCUGGUGGAGGCUCGCAGCGGUUCUGACGUGCAAAUCGAUCGUCAAACAUGGGCAUGGGGGCGAAAGACUAAUCGAACCUUCUAGUAGCUGGUUUCCGCCGA
rnacentral:rRNA from 1 species